GACGAACGCUGGCGGCGUGCCUAAUACAUGCAAGUAGAACGCACAGUUUAUACCGUAGCUUGCUACACCAUAGACUGUGAGUUGCGAACGGGUGAGUAACGCGUAGGUAACCUGCCUGGUAGCGGGGGAUAACUAUUGGAAACGAUAGCUAAUACCGCAUAAUAUUGAUUAUUGCAUGAUAAUUGAUUGAAAGAUGCUAUUGCAUCACUACCAGAUGGACCUGCGUUGUAUUAGCUAGUAGGUGAGGUAACGGCUCACCUAGGCGACGAUACAUAGCCGACCUGAGAGGGUGAUCGGCCACACUGGGACUGAGACACGGCCCAGACUCCUACGGGAGGCAGCAGUAGGGAAUCUUCGGCAAUGGACGAAAGUCUGACCGAGCAACGCCGCGUGAGUGAAGAAGGUUUUCGGAUCGUAAAGCUCUGUUGUAAGAGAAGAACGGGUGUGAGAGCGGAAAGUUCACACUGUGACGGUAUCUUACCAGAAAGGGACGGCUAACUACGUG
rnacentral:rRNA from 1 species